UACGGGGGGGGCAAGCGUUGUUCGGAAUUACUGGGCGUAAAGGGCUCGUAGGCGGCCAUCUAAGUCGGGCGUGAAAUCCCACGGCUCAACCGUGGAAGUGCACUCGAAACUGGAUGGCUAGAGUCCUGGAGAGGAAGGUGGAAUGCUUGGUGUAGAGGUGAAAUUCGUAGAUAUCAAGCGGAACACCGGUGGCGAAGGCGGCCUUCUGGACAGUGACUGACGCUGAGACGCGAAAGCGUGGGGAGCAAACAGG
rnacentral:rRNA from 1 species